UACGUAGGGCGCAAGCGUUGUCCGGAAUUAUUGGGCGUAAAGAGCUCGUAGGCGGUCUGUUACGUCCGCUGUGAAAACCCAGGGCUUAACCCUGGGCUUGCAGUGGAUACGGGUAGACUAGAGGCAGGUAGGGGAGAAUGGAAUUCCCGGUGUAGCGGUGAAAUGCGCAGAUAUCGGGAGGAACACCGGUGGCGAAGGCGGGUUGCUGGGCCGACACUGACGCUGAGGCGCGAAAGCCAGGGGAGCGAACGGG
rnacentral:rRNA from 1 species